UACGGAGGAUUCGAGCGUUAUCCGGAAUCAUUGGGUUUAAAGGGUCCGUAGGCGGUUUGUUAAGUCAGUGGUGAAAGUUUUCAGCUUAACUGGAAAAUUGCCAUUGAAACUGACAGACUUGAAUUCUUGUGAAGUAACUAGAAUAUGUAGUGUAGCGGUGAAAUGCAUAGAUAUUACAUGGAAUACCAAUUGCGAAGGCAGGUUACUAACAAGACAUUGACGCUGAUGGACGAAAGCGUGGGUAGCGAACAGG
rnacentral:rRNA from 1 species